AUUGAACGCUGGCGGCAUGCUUUACACAUGCAAGUCGAACGGUAACAGGCCGCAAGGUGCUGACGAGUGGCGAACGGGUGAGUAAUGCAUCGGAACGUGCCCAGUCGUGGGGGAUAACGCAGCGAAAGCUGCGCUAAUACCGCAUACGAGCUAUGGAUGAAAGCGGGGGACCGAAAGGCCUCGCGCGAUUGGAGCGGCCGAUGUCGGAUUAGGUAGUGGGUGGGGUAAAGGCCCCCCAAGCAAACGAUCUGUAGCUGGUCUGAGAGGACGACCAGCCACACUGGGACUGAGACACGGCCCAGACUCCUACGGGAGGCAGCAGUGGGGAAUUUUGGACAAUGGGCGCAAGCCUGAUCCAGCAAUGCCGCGUGCAGGAAGAAGGCCUUCGGGUUGUAAACUGCUUUUGUACGGAACGAAACGGUCCGGGUUAAUACCCUGGGCUAAUGACGGUACCGUAAGAAUAAGCACCGGCUAACUACGUGCCAGCCGCCGCGAUAACAC
rnacentral:rRNA from 1 species